rnacentral:misc_RNA from 1 species
GAAAUGCGAUACUUGGUGUGAAUUGCAGAAUCCCGCGAACCAUCGAGUCUUUGAACGCAAGUUGUGCCCGAAGCCAUUAGGUUGAGGGCACAUCUACCUGGGCGUCUCACGUUGCGUCGCCCGCGCCCCCUCCCCCCCCCACGAAGGGGGAAAGAAGGGUUGCGAGCGGAUGUUGGCCCCCCGUGCGCGCCCGUGCUCUGUUGGCCGAAAAGUGAGUCCCCCGAGAUGGACGACGCAUCGCGACGAGUGGUGGUUGACAAACCGUUGCGUCGCCUCGUGCGCUCCCGGUCCGUCACGGGAGGCCUGUCGUGACCCUAUCGCACCGCCACCAAGGCGCUCCGAUCGCGACCCGAGGGCAGGCGGGAUUACCCGCUGAGUUUAA